CCGACCUCAGAUCGGACGAGAUUACCCGCUGAAUUUAAGCAUAUAACUAAGCGGAGGAAAAGAAACUAACAAGGAUUCCCUCAGUAACGGCGAGUGAAGCGGGAAUAGCCCAGCACCGAAUCCCUCAGUGUCAUGCUGACGGGAACUGUGGUGUGUGGGACGCCACCAGUCGCAUCAGAGGGCGCCGAAGUCCUCCUGAUCGGGGCUUCACCCAGAGCGGGUGUAAGGCCUUUGCGGGUGCCUCUCUGUGCGGCCGCGAGCGUCUCAGGAGUCGGGUUGUUUGGGAAUGCAGCCCAAAGCGGGUGGUAAACUCC
rnacentral:rRNA from 1 species